AUGGGACAACGCAAGCUCCGUCGUUCCGGGGCCGCCGCCUCCGCAUCUUACUUCCGGAUCGAGAAAGAUCGCCGCCAUUGUUUCUCAAAGAAGAAAAAGAAAAAUCGCCAUCAUCAUCACCACGAAGUAGCCAGCAGCGGCCCAACGGCGUCUCUCUGUGACGACGCCCUCGCCGACAUCUUCACCCGGCUGCCGGGCGCGGCGGCGGUGGUCCGCUGCGCCGCCACGUGCCGGCGCUGGGGCCGCCUCGUGGCCACGAGGGCAGCCGUCAUCUCCCGUUGCCUGCCGCCCCUCGGCUGCUCCUUCCCGGACCUUGCCGUCGGCCUCUUCCACCAGGAGAAAGAUUGGCCCACCACGCGCGGCAGGGACGCUGCGUCAUCGCCAGGGCCGUGUUUUGUCCCGACAGCCUCCGGCUCUCGCUUCCUCUAUGAGGGCCGGGAGUCUUUAGGUGUCGCCAGACUAGAUGACGGCGACAGGCUCCUCGACCACUCCCGUCCCGUUGCGUCCCGGAACGGCCGCCUUGUUUUGGAGCUCCGGCGCCACCGGCGCCAGGAUCGCGCUGCCGACGGCCUCCGGCUUGCCAUUUGUAACCCAAUGACGUCUGACAACAUCGUAGUCGUCCCGCCUUUGUUCUUAGCAGGGAAGAACAACACAAAGAUACUGGAAUACGGACUCACCAGCCACAAUCUCUGUCCGCCGGGCUGCCACGACUUCUUCCGUAUUCUGCUCAUCUACAACCACCACCGCAGCGGUGGGCUGUCCACGGUGCUCCGGUGCUACUCCUCGGACACUGGUCGCUGGGGACCGGAGACUGAAUCCAUUGUCAAGAUACCUAGUUCCAAGAUCCGCAACAUCAGCCCCGCAGUGGUACACCGCGGGGUGGCGUACUGGGCUCUCGAGCAGGGCGUGUUCGGGGUGCGCCUGGAUCGGAUUGAUCAUGACCAUACAAUGGACAUGCACCUUGUGCCGUGUGACACCUCCUGA
rnacentral:rRNA from 1 species